rnacentral:lncRNA from 1 species
UAAACACCGGAAUCUCCUUUUCUAAACAAAGGCUGCCUGACAUUCAACUUCAUUUCUCUCUGUCUGACUCUGCUGGAGCAAAAGAUAAGAAUCUAGACAGAGGCUCUCAUUCUGCUUUACCUACAACUUGUCUAAACCACCAACUGACAAACACGGGUUCUGCCCAAAGGUACCCAAGGCAGCAACACAGCUGCACAGACUUGUACCUACAACAUCAGUUCCAGUACAAAAGUAGCCGGUGGAAUUGUCAGAAGGCAGGAUGCCUAGAUGGUAGGAUGAUAGAUCCCUGAGGAACCUAAGGAUACCGCCAAGCAAGGAGGUAGCAAAGUAAUUGCAGAAAUGUGGCCAUGGAUAGCUUAAUAAACUGAAAACAGAACCAUCAUAUGACCCAGCAAUUCCACUCCUGGAUAUACCAAAAAAAAAAAAAAAAAAAAAACAGAAACACUAAUUUGAGAGAAUACAUGCACCCCAAUGUUCACAGCAGCAUUAUUUACAACUGCCAAGAUACAGAAGCAACCUUAGUGUCCAUCAACAGAUGAAUGGAUAAAGCUGUUGUGUGUAUAUAGAAACACACACACACAAAUACUACUCAGCCGUAAAAAAAGAAUGAAAUCUUGCCAUUUGCAACAACAUGCAGACCUGGAGGGCACUGUGCUAAAUAAAGUCAGUCCAACAGAGAAAGACAAAUACUGUAUGACAUCAUUUAUAUGUGGACUCUAAAAAAAUACAACAAACUAGUGAUUAGAACAAAAAAAGAAAAACAUAUGGAUAUAAAGAAUUAGUGGUUACUAGUGGUAAGAGGGAAGGGGGAGGAGCAAUAGAAGUAAGAGAGUAAGAAGUACAAACUAUUGUGUAUAAAAUAAGCUAAAGGAUAUGUUGUAUGACAUGGGGAAUAUAGCCAAUAUUCUGUUAGAAUUAUAAAUGGAAUAUAACCUUUAAAAUUGUGAUUCCCUAUAUUGUUCACAUAUCACUUACAUAAUUUUUUUUACAUCAACUCUACAUCAAAAAAUGUGACCAUACAACUCAUAGAACAAGACCUACACAACCAAGUUCUAAGCACAGGCCCAAUCAGCUCUGAAAAGCAUAGAUGUGGCCAGAAUCGGUCGCACUUUAGGCAACUCAUGAUCCUAAAAAAUCUAAAACAUCUUGCGUUUUGUCUUCCUUUGAUUUCUGAGGAUUUAAUCAUAAUUUACUAGCAUAUUAUAGACAGGUAGGGUUUAUGGGGUUUUUAUCAAUUUUCUCAUCAACUCCAUGCUCUAAUAUUCACAUUUAGUAACCAACUUAAACAUUCUGCAAUUUUUUGCCCUGAAAAAAUAUCUCCUCACACAUGAAGUGGAACAAAAAAAUAGCGCGUUCAGGUUUAAAGGAGGCAGAGGGACAGGAUGAGAGCGGGUCCAAGAGUUCAGAGGCAGAGAAGGAAGGAGGGAGGGGGCCAAGCCGACAAGGCACCCUCCACUUCUCCUCUUUGGUUCCUGGGCCUCCCCUCCAGGCCAAAGCUGUGGGAGGCCUCCAGAGCCAGAAAAGCUUAGGACGACCCUCCCUCCGCCCCAUUCAGUUCUGCGCCCAAGGACCCCACCCCUCCCCAGCCCGGCC